rnacentral:rRNA from 1 species
CCUACGGGUGGCUGCAGUGGGGAAUAUUGCGCAAUGGGGGGAACCCUGACGCAGCCAUGCCGCGUGAAUGAAGAAGGCCUUCGGGUUGUAAAGUUCUUUCGGUAUUGAGGAAGGGAUGUGUGCUAAUAGUACACGUUAUUGACGUUAAAUACAGAAGAAGCACCGGCUAACUCCGUGCCAGCAGCCGCGGUAAUACGGAGGGUGCGAGCGUUAAUCGGAAUAACUGGGCGUAAAGGGCACGCAGGCGGUUAUUUAAGUGAGGUGUGAAAGCCCCGGGCUUAACCUGGGAAUUGCAUUUCAGACGGGGUAACUAGAGUACUUUAGGGAGGGGUAGAAUUCCACGUGUAGCGGUGAAAUGCGUAGAGAUGUGGAGGAAUACCGAAGGCGAAGGCAGCCCCCUGGGAAUGUACUGACGCUCAUGUGCGAAAGCGUGGGGAGCAAACAGGAUUAGAUACCCUUGUAGUC